rnacentral:rRNA from 1 species
GAUCAUGGCUCAGGAUGAACGCUGGCGGCAUGCCUAAUACAUGCAAGUCGAACGAGAGGAAGGAAAGCUUGCUUUUUCUGAAUCUAGUGGCGAACGGGUGAGUAACACGUAGGUAACCUGCCCAUGUGCCCGGGAUAACUUCUGGAAACGGAUGCUAAAACCGGAUAGGUAGCAGACAAGCAUUUGACUGCUAUUAAAGUGGCUAAGGCCAUGAACAUGGAUGGACCUGCGGUG